UACGUAGGUGGCAAGCGUUGUCCGGAUUUAUUGGGUUUAAAGGGUGCGUAGGCGGUUCUAUAAGUCAGUGGUGAAAUCCGGCAGCUCAACUGUCGAUGUGCCAUUGAUACUGCAGAACUUGAGUACAGACGAGGUAGGCGGAAUUGACGGUGUAGCGGUGAAAUGCUUAGAUAUCGUCAAGAACACCGAUAGCGAAGGCAGCUUACUAGACUGUAACUGACGCUGAUGCGCGAAAGUGUGGGGAUCAAACAGG
rnacentral:rRNA from 1 species